GUACUCCGUCCUGGGCCAGGCACGCCAGCUCCUGGAGGAGGAGGAGGAAGACGACCUCCGGAUGAGCCUCUCUGCCCUCCUCUACAAGCUUUGGAAGGGCAGGGAGGCUCCGAGUGAGAUCCAGGCGCUCCUGCCCAAGACUGGUGACCCCCAAUAAAUGUGGGAGCGCCCCUCCUCCUCCUCCUCCUCCUCCUCCUGCAGCCCAUUCUUCCCUUUCUCCU